CGGGUGAGUAACACGUGGACAAUCUGCCCCCCGGUCCGGGAUAGCCCAGGGAAACCUGGAUUAAUACCGGAUGAGACGGGACCCGCGGAGGCGGGAUCCGGGAAAGGCGCUACGGCGCCGCCGGGGGAUGAGUCUGCGUCCCAUUAGCUAGACGGCGGGGUAACGGCCCACCGUGGCGACGAUGGGUAGCCGGCCUGAGAGGGUGGACGGCCACAUUGGAACUGAGACACGGUCCAGACUCCUACGGGAGGCAGCAGCUAAGAAUCUUCCGCAAUGGGCGAAAGCCUGACGGAGCGACGCCGCGUGAACGAAGAAGGCCGUGAGGUUGUAAAGUUCUUUUCGGGAGGGGGAACAACCGUGGCAGGGAAUGGCCGCGGGAUGACGUGAAUCCCGGAAUAAGCCCCGGCUAACUACGUGCCAGCAGCCGCGGUAACACGUAGGGGGCGAGCGUUGUUCGGAAUCAUUGGGCGUAAAGGGCGUGCAGGCGGUCCUGCAAGUCCGGCGUGAAAGACCCCGGCCCAACCGGGGGGACGCGCUGGAAACUGCGGGGCUUGAGUACAGGAGGGGAUGCCGGAAUUCCAGGUGUAGGGGUGAAAUCUGUAGAUAUCUGGAAGAACACCAAUGGCGAAGGCAGGCAUCUGGCCAUGUACUGACGCUGAGACGCGAAGGUGCGGGGAACAAACAGGUUUAGAUUCCCUGGUAGUCCGCACAGUAAUCAAAUUGGCCAGUGCGUUUUU
rnacentral:rRNA from 1 species